rnacentral:lncRNA from 1 species
UAUUGAUUUCACAGUCACUCAUUCUCUGAAAAAACCCAAAAAACAGACCUUGUGAUUUCAGAUUAUUAAUUCGGCAAUAACAACUGGAAGAUAGAAUAAUUGGAAAGGCGUGAGACAAAGCAGCCAUGACUCGUUUUUCCCUUUGUUACUAUCUUACUGAUUAAGAAAAGCCUUUAAACACUAUGGGCUCGUUUGGUAUACCGUAUUAGACUCUGGAUAGGAGUAAAUAGUCUAUGUCAGGUGUUUGGUGUCAACUUGUAUUAUUUAAUUACCCGACUAUUUUAUACGGGUUGGGCUUUUAAUACUCUCCUUACCUGACUAACUAAUACAACACACACACCCCGGUUUAGAUAAUGCACGCUUAAUUAUACGGCUAGAGAAAAAGAACGCGCGUUCUACGAAAAAAAAUCAGACGCUCUUUUCAUCUUUUUCUCCCUAGGGUUGUUCUCUACUAUCUUCUCCACAAGUUAUUUUCUUCACUCUUCUCUAGGUAUCCAUCUCUCACUCUCUCUCUUUUUCAUACUCUCUCCAAUAUGCUUUAUAUAUUUCAAUUUUUUUAGUGGAAAUUAGGUUAUGAAUUUUUUUUUUUUGGCAUUUUUUUUAAUCGAAUGUUUUCUUUGUAUGUGAUAUAGUGAUUCGACGUUGUGGGAAUAUUUAGAUUGUUGGUAUUAAACAGAGUAUUGCCAAUUUUCGUCCAAAAACAAAAAACUGUGAUAGUGUUGGUAGUUUAGUUGAAUACAUACACACAUGACGACUAGGAGAGCAAAAUUACAAAAUUAAAAUUGUAUGAACCUGAAUUCUAGGAACCAUUUUUUUUUU